ACCGGAAACCCGGGGAGGGAAACGCUUCCUGUUCUCCUGAAAAACACUGCUCUGGAAUAAGAGCACCUCCUUCUCAGCUGAUCUGCAGCCCACAGGCUCAGGGGCCCGUCAUCGGCAAAGACCCGCUGAAGGACUGCCGGGCAAGUCGGCUCCUUGGACGGCCAGCUCCUCGCAAGCCGAGGCUCUGCAGGACAGCGUGGAGCCCAGUGAAGCGUGGAGCCCCGUGAGGCCCGGAGCUCCGGGACAAAGGAGGCUGCAGAUCCCGCGGGCCAGCACCGUGUGCCGAGACGCUCACGAGGCAGCAAAACGCUUGCUGUGUGAAAUAAAUCAGCGCUGUGCUCGAGGCCACGUUAAAUAAACAGCAAAUGAAAAAUAAGACAGAGAGGGGACCAGCCAAGGGGGAAAAACCACAGGACCUACGUAACAAAGGGAGAGGAAGAGGAGACAGUACUGAACACGGCCCAACCAUCAGUCCACAAAAGCAGAACUCUCUCUCAGUCAGCAGUUGAAGCUCCAGUUGCCCUGGUGGAGCUCCUCCGGGCCCUAGAGUCAGGAGCCAGCGCAGCUCCAGUGGUCCCCCUCUGCCUCUGUUUCUUCUGCCCUUGCACAGAUGUGUCGAAACUUCCUGGCAAAAGCUGAAUUCAAAGAGAGCUACUCAGUGCAUAGUUAUGUAUGGAUGUGAGAGUUGGACUAUAAAGAAAGCUGAGUGCAGAAGAAUUGAUGCUUUUGAACUGUGGUGUUGGAGAAGACUCUUGAAAGUCCCUUGGACUGCAAGGAGAGCCAA